UGCAAGUCGAACGAGAAAGCUCCCUUCGGGGAGUGAGUACAGUGGCGAACGGGUGAGUAACAGGUGGAGAACCUGCCCUACAAUGGGGGAUAACAGUUCUAACGAACUGCUAAUACCGCAUACGACCUUCGGAUCGCAUGAUUCGAAGGUGAAAGGUGGCCUCUCUUUGAAGCUGCCGUUGAAGGAUGGUUCCGCCUCCCAUUAGCUUGUUGGUGGGGUAAUGGCCUACCAAGGCGACGAUGGGUAGCCGGCCUGAAAGGGUGUCCGGCCACACUGGGACUGAAAUACGGCCCAAACUCCUACGGGAGGCAGCAGUCCAGAACUUCCGCAAUGGGCGAAAGCCUGACCGAGCGAUGCCGCGUGAGUGAAAAAGGCCUAUGGGUUGUAAGCUCUGUCCAAUGGGAAGAAAAUCCUGCGGUAAUACCCGUGGGACUUGACGGUACCAUCAGAGGAAGCACCCGCUAAUCCGUGCCAGCAGCCGCGGUAAUACG
rnacentral:rRNA from 1 species